GCCUCUGUAGUUCAGUGAUAGAGCACUGGCCUUGUAAACCAGGGGCUGUGAGUUCAAUCCUUACAGGAAGCA